rnacentral:rRNA from 1 species
GUCUAUGAUUAUGCUACCCUGAAUAUGCCCAAUCUCUCUAAUCUCAAGAAAUAUACAGAGUCAGGCCCGGUUGGUACUCAAAUAGAAGAUCACCUGGGAAUGUUGGAUGCUGUAGGCU